CAGCAGCCGCGGUAAUACAGAGGGUGCGAGCGUUAAUCGGAUUUACUGGGCGUAAAGCGUGCGUAGGCGGCUUUUUAAGUCGGAUGUAAAAUCCCUGAGCUUAACUUAGGAAUUGCAUUCGAUACUGGGAAGCUAGAGUAUGGGAGAGGAUGGUAGAAUUCCAGGUGUAGCGGUGAAAUGCGUAGAGAUCUGGAGGAAUACCGAUGGCGAAGGCAGCCAUCUGGCCUAAUACUGACGCUGAGGUACGAAAGCAUGGGGAGCAAACAGGAUUAGAUACCCGAGUAGUCCCUGUCUCUUAUAC
rnacentral:rRNA from 1 species